AGUGAACGCUGGCGGUAGGCCUAACACAUGCAAGUCGAACGGCAGCACAGGAGAGCUUGCUCUCUAGGUGGCGAGUGGCGGACGGGUGAGGAAUACAUCGGAAUCUACUCUGUCGUGGGGGAUAACGUAGGGAAACUUACGCUAAUACCGCAUACGACCUACGGGUGAAAGCAGGGGACCUUCGGGCCUUGCGCGAUUGAAUGAGCCGAUGUCGGAUUAGCUAGUUGGCGGGGUAAAGGCCCACCAAGGCGACGAUCCGUAGCUGGUCUGAGAGGAUGAUCAGCCACACUGGAACUGAGACACGGUCCAGACUCCUACGGGAGGCAGCAGUGGGGAAUAUUGGACAAUGGGCGCAAGCCUGAUCCAGCCAUACCGCGUGGGUGAAGAAGGCCUUCGGGUUGUAAAGCCCUUUUGUUGGGAAAGAAAUCAGCUGGCUAAUACCCGGUUGGGAUGACGGUACCCAAAGAAUAAGCACCGGCUAACUUCGUGCCAGCAGCCGCGGUAA
rnacentral:rRNA from 1 species